rnacentral:rRNA from 1 species
AUUGGACGCUGGCGGCAUGCUUUACACAUGCAAGUCGAACGGUAACAGGCCGCAAGGUGCUGACGAGUGGCGCACGGGUGAGUAAUGCAUCGGAACGUGCCCAGUCGUGGGGGAUAACUACUCGAAAGAGUAGCUAAUACCGCAUACGAUCUAUGGAUGAAAGCGGGGGACCGUAAGGCCUCGCGCGAUUGGAGCGGCCGAUGUCAGAUUAGGUAGUUGGUGGGGUAAAGGCUCACCAAGCCAACGAUCUGUAGCUGGUCUGAGAGGACGACCAGCCACACUGGGACUGAGACACGGCCCAGACUCCUACGGGAGGCAGCAGUGGGGAAUUUUGGACAAUGGGCGCAAGCCUGAUCCAGCAAUGCCGCGUGCAGGAAGAAGGCCUUCGGGUUGUAAACUGCUUUUGUACGGAACGAAACGGCUCUGGUUAAUACCCGGGGCUAAUGACGGUACCGGAAGAAUAAGCACCGGCUAACUACGUG